GCAAUAAUAGCAUGAUCAAGAAGAGGAAGCAGAUUGGGGUGGCUGAACAGUGAUGAGACGCGAAUCUCUUCCCGAACCAACUCCAAUUGCUCAUUGUUCUGAAUGAGAACUUUCUUCAUUGCAUAAGUUCCAUCAUCAGAAAUAUGAGAAGUGUCCUUGACUUUCUUGGCAAGGCCACCACCGCCACCACCGGGGGAAGCAGAAGAGUCAGUGACGACCUCCUUGACCAAGUAGACAUAGGCAAAACCACCUUCACCUAGCUGCCUGACGAUCCUGAACCUGUUCUCAUUGAU
rnacentral:misc_RNA from 1 species